rnacentral:rRNA from 1 species
AGCAGCCGCGGUAAUUCCAGCUCCAAUAGCGUAUAUUAAAGUUGUUGCAGUUAAAAAGCUCGUAGUUGAAUUUCGGGAUUGGCGCAUCGGUCGUGCCUCACGGGGUAUGAACUGGUGCAGUCAAUUUCUCACCUUCUGGAGAACCGCGAUGUCCUUAAUUGGAUGCCGCGGGGAACCAGGACCUUUACUUUGAAAAAAUUAGAGUGUUUAAAGCAGGCAUUUUUUGCUUGAAUACAUUAGCAUGGAAUAAUAAAAUAGGACGGCAUGGUUCUAUUUUGUUGGUUUCUAGGACCACCGUAAUGAUUAAUAGGGAUAGUUGGGGGCAUUAGUAUUCAAUUGUCAGAGGUGAAAUUCUUGGAUUUAUUGAAGACUAACUACUGCGAAAG